rnacentral:rRNA from 1 species
UACGGGGGGGGCAAGCGUUGUUCGGAAUUACUGGGCGUAAAGGGCGCGUAGGCGGCCUGCUAAGUCGGAUGUGAAAUCCCUCGGCUCAACCGAGGAACUGCAUCCGAUACUGGCGGGCUUGAAUCCGGGAGAGGGAUGUGGAAUUCCAGGUGUAGCGGUGAAAUGCGUAGAUAUCUGGAGGAACACCGGUGGCGAAGGCGACAUCCUGGACCGGCAUUGACGCUGAGGCGCGAAAGCCAGGGGAGCAAACGGG